AACAACAGUGAUAUUUUUUUCACAGCGUUGGCAGUUGCUUUGAAGUGCAUGUUGACAUUUGUAUCCUCCAAAAAACAUGGAUGUAUUCAACGCUUAAUAGUGUUAAAAAUUAGACAAGUGGCUGGUGUGAUUGACUCGCAUUAUUUACAGAGGGGAUGCAUCUGACGCCAACUUCAUCGCCCCAUCGUUUUGCUGACAUUGACGUUGCGCAUCCCGAAAUGCAGCGCACCAAAACUGACUCCACGCAAAAGACCGACUGCACCCUUUACUGGACACCAGUCAGUCAUAGGGCACAUAUAUAGAGACGAAAAAAAAUCCAGAUUCACAUGCACACCAUCUUUGCGUGGGAACUGAAAUCACACUGCCUGCACUGCAUUCAGGCAAUUGUACCACCACACCAGCAGUGAAAUGUAGUUCAAACUUUUAAAUAUAAAUGUGGUGCAUGUUUGCAGCAGAUGUGUACAACAAAAUAAUUAUUUGUAGGAGUCAAGAGAUUCUUGGGUCGUCUGUGGCAUAGUAGGUCAACAAGAGGUUAACGUCUCGAGUAGGAUAUGAUAAGGAGGCUAAGCGCUACCGAUGGUAGCCUACAGUCGUUUUGUUCUGCACAUUCUGCAUGUGUACUUUUUCAUCUGCAAGCACUUUAAAUAAAUGUCUCAGUGGAGCAAGACUGUGCAUGUAAACGUUCUGACUCUGAUAUGUUUGUAGGAUGCACACACACACACACACACACACACACACACA